rnacentral:rRNA from 1 species
AACGAACGCUGGCGGCAUGCCUAACACAUGCAAGUCGAACGAGACCUUCGGGUCUAGUGGCGCAUGGGUGCGUAACGCGUGGGAAUCUGCCCUUGGGUUCGGAAUAACUCAGAGAAAUUUGAGCUAAUACCGGAUGAUGACGUAAGUCCAAAGAUUUAUCGCCCAAGGAUGAGCCCGCGUAAGAUUAGGUAGUUGGUGGGGUAAAAGCCUACCAAGCCGACGAUCUUUAGCUGGUCUGAGAGGAUGAUCAGCCACACUGGGACUGAGACACGGCCCAGACUCCUACGGGAGGCAGCAGUGGGGAAUAUCGGACAAUGGGCGAAAGCCUGAUCCAGCAAUGCCGCGUGAGUGAUGAAGGCCCUAGGGUUGUAAAGCUCUUUUACUCGGGAUGAUAAUGACAGUACCGGGAGAAUAAGCCCCGGCUAACUCCGUGCCAGCAGCCGCGGUAA